GGCCGGAAAGUUUGCACAGCGAGAGGGACUCUCCUUCCGUGUCUCUCCCGCGCUGCCCCCUUCUGCCCCGGAGGGGCGUUAGAGUCCCCUCGGGUUUUCCUUUCAAAUUCUAAAAUAAAAAAGUAAUAUAUGCCCAGGCCCUGGGGAAAUUGGAAUAGUAAUUCAUUCAAUAAAUGAAAUUAUAUGAGAGGUUUUGGGAAAACCCCAAGCCAACCGCAUGUGCCCUCCGAUCAAGUAGGGCAAGAGAGUGAGAAGGCGACAGAAGAGGUCCCCGGCUCGCCCUGGGCACACGGCGAGGACUCUGGUCAGAGGUAAUUAUGUCACUGCGUUUUCUCGCUGUGACAGCCGAAUAAACACAAUCUCCAAUAAACAUCUCUAAUGAGGGAGGAGGCCCGAGGAUGGCUGGGUUUGAUUUAUGACUGGAGGAGAAGGUCCAUUUCCCACUGAGAAGCGGGCAACCUGCUCACCGCCCAGACCCGGAGAAAGGAAUCCGCGGAGGAGAGGACCCAGGCCCAGGAUAUGAUCCAGGAUUCCAUGUUGCAUCAGAUCUGCUGAUUUUUUAGACUCAAAGCCUUGGAGGGCUGAGCUGAACACACCUCCGCUGGAAAAUUAUCUGGAGCCAGCAUUUAUUGGGUGCUAGGGUUUGCCAUCCUCACCACACUGCGGGGGAUCGGGAUGUCAGCUCUCUCACCUAAGGACCCAUUCGAGCGUGGAGGAGAAUGUGAAGACGAGCCGAGGCUGCCCUAAAAUAAUCAUAAAGAAGGAGAGACGCGCCCCCGGUGUAUUGGCACGUGUUUCACAAGUUGCGCUUAGCAAAUACAAGUCCUUGUGAGCGCUGCCUUUUAUGUGGCAGUAAACCAUCUCUGAUGGUGUCGAGUGCAGAGGCUCACGCCAGCUAACCCAGCCUGCCUCGGAGGGCCCUCCCCAGGGGCUCGCGCCUUCCCACGGCAGAGGGAGGGCACAUCAGAUCGAGGCGGGUGCCCAAGGGAGGUCGUGAUGUGUUUUGUCUGCUCGACCCUGGCAGUGGUGCGCCUAUGUUCCUCUGCUUGAGCCGAUCCUCAAGACAUUUGGCAGAGGAGGAAACUGCGGCCUUGAGGAAAGAACCGCCGGAAGAAGAUCAGUGCUGGGAUAUUUGCUCCUCAUCCUCUGUUCUUCUGACGCCACCUCGUGCCCUCUCUUUGCCUGGUUGUCACUUCUUGGUGCCCUCACUUCUACCCGUGUGACCUAGAUUGAACCUCAAUCCAAGAGCUAUUCAAGCAGCCAAGGAGAGAAGGAUAACGUGGGGCAGAAGCAUGGUCCCACAGAACACAGGGCCGGCGCACCGGGCACAUCCUGCACAGAUUCAAGGAAGCAGAAAGCCACCGGGACUUGCACAUCGAGAGAAGCCUUCAGGGAGAAAAUUGAGGGAGCUCCCAGGUUACUUCCUGUUCAAAAGCCACUGAAGUGGACGCAAAAGGCAAGGAGAGCCCGAGGCCUUGGCAUCUCCGCCGGCCCAACCUGCAAAGGAAUCCAGCACCCACUGCCCGUGAGGUCUUUGAAGGAAGACGGUGUGGGGCCUGGCGGUCUCCGCAGGAGGGGAGCAGGGAGGGAGGGAGGAGGGCUAUGUCUGGACCGGUCUCUCUCCGCCACCCACAGAAGGCUCCUCCUUCAUUUGGAAGCCUCCUAACCUGAGCACAAAUGAGACCCCCUGGGAUCCCAAAAUAGCUCCCCUCACAGCUGCACAGCAUCCAUUUAUAGCACAGCAUCUCUGCAGCCUCAGGCUGCUCCUGGGACGGCCCUUCUGAGCUCAGCAUCUGCGAACACCAGGCUCCAUGUCAUUUAAAAGCAGAAAUACUCAUAAAGGACCUAUUAUGGCCUUGUCACUGUUUUCCAGAACUUGCCUCAACCCUCAGAGACCUCAAAGGGCCAAAUUUGUUUUGACCCAGAGCCAGACCAUGUUUUGUCCAACAAUAACCCAGAGGCCGGUCGGGUCCCUUCCUCUGGGCUCGGCAGCAGUUGAGAAUGUUCUACUUGGUGGCAGCAGGACAAACAGUACCAAACUGAUGCUUGGGCCUUAGACCAAGUCACUCGGACAGCCCCAGGGCAGAACCACCAUUAGGCUCUAUGUCUAUACUGUCCACUUACUAGCAAGGAAAGUAACUGAGGCCUCUUAUUGACAUUAUCCACUCAUGUUAUCGGUGCUAACUCUGAAUGUCAAAUUAUAGAGCAAAGAAACACCCCCGGCCCCAUCGAGGUAGGUUCUGUACUUCCUUCUCAUAUGAACUUUAACCCACUUUUUCACAUGCGACUUAUGUAGAGACAGACUGAAACCGUCCAUUGAUAAUCAAGUGUAUGUUGCUUUUUCACCCCCGACUCUGAGCGGAGUUGAGAGAUCAGAAGUGACCCUGGCUGGCCGCUUGCAGUUUGCUCAGCCUCCUUCUGCUUUCUGUGACAGCCACUGGCACUUGUCUUCCUGAGACAAACAUUUUUUUGUUCAAGCAGAUUCAGGCCGCCUCUGGAAUCGGUCCAGAGCAGUUUUCUGAAGGUGGGGGGAGGGGGCUUCCUUUCCAAAGUUGCUGAGUGGGAGCAAGUCUCUGCUGAUGAGCCUUUCCGGGGGUGGGGGGUGGUGGUGGGGAAGGCCUGGAGGGAGUUCAUAAGAGCCGGGCCACCGACAGGACAUAUCUGCCCUGUUAAGGCGACCGAGGCCCUAGCACAGGGUAGCAACAUUCAUCCAGGGGUAAGAAACCUGUGUGAUCAUGUCCCCUCCCCCCCUCCCCGACCUUUUAAAGAGAGAUCUUUCUAGAGCAGUCUUAGAUUCACAGCAAAAUUGAGCAGAAAGUACAGAGAAUUCCCUUAUCCUCCCUGCCCCCCCACCUCACUAUCAAAUCCCCACCGUGGCACAUUUGUCAUAAUUGAUAAAUUUACAUGGACACAUCAUUAUCAACCAAAGUCCAUAGUUUACCAUAGGGUUCCGUCUUGGUGUUUUAAAAUGUUUUAAGAUGGGAAUAUGUAUUUAUUUGCAUGUAUAUGUGUCAGGAUUGCUCUGAAGAAAGACCCCAGUACAGGCCAACAGCGGACAUCAUGGCUAAUAUUACUGGAGUCAGUCACAAGAGAGAAAUGGAUUUCUUCCCAAGACUUCCUUGGUUACUGCACUGAUGAAGGCACAAGUCGAAAGACUUACAUUUUAGUAAUUUUUUUUUGGUUGCUAUUGACUUCUCUCUUGUUCCCCUCUGGUGUCAUCAAAUUUGAGCCAAUUCUGAGCCAGACGCAUAAAGGGAAUCCCGGCUGUUGGUGAACGCUGAGGAAGAGGCAAAGGCAUAAAUAUAGGGAGUGGGUGCCUGAGUGCUAAGUGAUGGAGAUUGAAGGGGAAAUUACCCCUCUUCUUCUGCUUUACAAAUUCACAAACAUCUAGUCCACCACGAAGUCUAUAACAGCCAUUUGAUAAACACAAAAUUCAAUUAAACUGAUUCAGAAAUGGCUCUAGCCUGGACAUUUAAACCAAUAGCCAAUUGCUGCAGAGAAAAUGCUGGAGCAGAUGGAUGUUUCUCUAGAUCUUAUCUGCCUUGGGUUUUCAGGUGAAUUCAUCCCAGAAAUGAGGGGUUGUGGAACUUGGUACCUGGGAUUUCAUGGAGUCCUUGGGAAGUUCAAGUCACCCCAAAAUGCUUACUUCUUGAGUCAUCUCCUUUUGCCUUCUUACAUCAUCUAAUUUAAAAUGUAUACUUUUGUUAAGGGUAGGGUUCAAGUUUAUUAAUCAUUAAUCAUCUUAUUGUAAUUAUGUCAGUGCAAAUGUAAUAGGUAGAUCAACAUUGACAUAUUAUUUCCAUUAAUAUACAUUACUUGUAGUUUUCUAUUUAGUCACUAACCGUGGCUCAUUCACCUUUUUAGGCUGAAUCAUCAGAUGUGAAGAGCCAUCCAGGGCAUUUCUGAGUUCUGAUUGGUUGCACUAGCUCGAAAUCUGAUUAGUCCAAAAUUUGGCCCCAAAAGUCUCAGCAAAAGUCUUGUCCCGUGUGUGUUUGAAAUUUUACAGAGUGAUUCAUAGCUGUUAUUUGUUCUAAGCAAAUAUCUGACAAGUUUCUGAUCCAUUGAUUUUGCAGAGGAAAUGUUUCCAAGUGCCAUUGCCUUUCCCUAAAAGCCAGCUUAAAGCCCACACAUGUUUAUAUUGCGUGUUAUGUUCAAAGAGCAUUUAGGUAAGUGGAGUGGGAUAUAGAACCACCUACGGUUCUGUCUUAUCUUGCUGGACUGGGAGGAUGUUUCCUGUGACCUCUCAAGGCACGUGAACACACAAUGCGCUAGGCAGCCCUCCGGUUUUCCUCCUGCAACAUCGGCAUUGGACAGCCCGGUGGAACAGAGGUGGUCUGGGAGGCACAAGGCCUGGGUAUUGGUUUUGAUUGUCCUACUGAAGAGUCGUAGCCCCUUAGCAAAGUGCCUUAACCAUUUGAUUCUCACUUCUUUUCUCUAUAAACGGGAAAAGGAAUACCUGUCUACCACAUCUUAGCACGUUGUGGUUGGAGCCAAAUGAGAACUUGGGCAAAUAAGAAGGCUUUGGUAGGGAGUUCCCUUCCUGGCUCAGUGGUUAACGAACCCAACUAGGAUCUACAAGGAUAUGGGUCGAUCCCUGGCCUUGCUCAGCGGGUUAAGGAUACAGCAUUGUCAUGAGCUGUGGUGAAGGUCACAGAUGUGGCUUCGAUCCCAAGCUGCUGAGGCUGUGGCUGUGGCCUAGGCCGGCGGCUGCAGCUCCGAUUCGACCCCUAGCCUGGGAACCUCCAUAUGCCAUGGGUGCAGCCCUAAAAAG
rnacentral:lncRNA from 1 species